rfam:TPA: Bos taurus chromosome 14, whole genome shotgun sequence.
UCCCUGAUAGCUCAGUUGGUAAAGAAUCUGCCUGCAAUACAGGAGACCCAGGUUCAAUUCCUAGGCAGGGAA